rnacentral:rRNA from 1 species
UUAGAUCCUCUUUAUCGUCAUGAAAAGGCUUAAGCAUCACAUGAAACACUGUUUGAAAUUUAAGUUUUGUCAGCAACUCAAGCUUGUAGGCCACUCUAUUUACUAUCUUCACAAUUCAAAAGGGUCCUUCAUACCAUCACACAAGCCUCUUCUGCAAACCAUUAUGUCAUAAAACAAGAGUAGUUUAAUAAGGACUAAAUUACCAACCUAAAAUUGCACAUCCCUUUGAUUCUGAUCCACCUACUUCUUGUUAUGCUUACUGACAUUGUUUAGACAAGCUCUAGCCAAGUCAUUUUUCUCUAGUCAAGCUUUGAGUGACAGCCUGCAGGUUCCCCAAUCUGCCUAUCUUGGAAUACGGAUCAAGGAGUGACAUGUGUGCAAGUCAAUGGGCUAGAAAACCAGUAAGGUGCAAGGAAGCUGAUUGGUGGGAUCCCUCGCGGGAGUAUUGCCGAUCGACCUUGAUCUUUUGAGAAGGGCUAGAGUGAGAGAAUGCCUGUCAGGACAUAAAACAUGGUAAACUAUGCAUGAGCGGGGCGAAGCUAGAGGAAACUCUGGUGGAGGCCUAUAGUGAUAUUGACAUGAAAAUCAUUCGUCUGACUUGGGUAUAGGGGUGAAAGACUAAUCUAACCGUCUAGUAGUUGGUUCCCUGCAAAGUUUGCCUCAGGAUAGUUGGAGCCCUUAAUGAGUUCUAUCGGGUAAAGCCAAUGAUUAGAGGCAUUGGGGGCUUAACACCCUCGAUAUAUUCUUAAACUUUAAAUAGGUAGGAUAGUGCAGCUGCUUCGUUGAGCCAUGCCAUAUAAUCGAGAGCUCCAAGUGGGAUAUUUUUGGCAAGCAAAACUGAUGUUGCGGGAUGAACCAGAAGCAGAGUUAUGGUGCCCAAUUGCGUGCUAACCUAUAACCUACAAAGGGUGUUGGUAAUGAGAGUGUAAAAACUCACCUGCUGAAUCAACUAGCCCUAAAAAUGGAUGGUGCUUAAGUGCGUGACCUAUACUCGACCGUCGAGGCAAAGGCUAGGCCCCAUUGAGUAUGAGGGCACAAAAGUCGUUGAAAAACUCAAGGUGAGAGCUUGGACAGAAUGGCCAUCGGUGUAGAUCUUGUUAGUGGUAGCAAAUAUUCAAAUAAGAACUUUGAAGGCUGAAGAGGGGAAAAGCUCCAUGUGGAUGAGACUUGCACAUGGGUUAGUCAAUCCUAAAAGAUGGGAGAAGCUCAUCUGAUAGCGAGUCUAUCGUGAGCUUUGAAAGUGAAUUGGGUUAAAAUUCCUUAACUAGGAUGCGCCUACUGACGUUAACGUUAGGGAGUCUGAAGACAUCAGCGGAGGCAUCGAGAAGAGUUAUCUUUUCUAUUUAAUAGUUUGACAUCCUUGAAAUGGCUCUGCUAGAGUAGGUUCUAGUGGCCGGAAGGGCGCUACAUGUCGCGUGGUGUCCGGUGUGCCCCCGGUGGCCCUUAAAAAUCUAAAGGACUGAGUGUUGUCUGUGUUUAGUCGUACUCAUAACUGCAUCAGGUUUCCAAGGUGAAAAGCCUCUGGUCAAUGGAACAAUGUAUGCAAGGGAAGUUGGCAAAAUGGAUCCGUAACCUUGGGAAAAGGAUUGGCUCUGAGGGCUGGGCAUAGGGGUCCUAGUCCCGAACACAUCGGUUGCUGGUGUAUUGCUCGAGCUGUUCUCACGGUGAGAGUAGGUUUCCACAUGCCAGCUAGAGGAUGGACUAGGAAUGGCUCCCUUUGAGGCCUUUCUCAGGUAAUAAACAGUCGAUUUAGAACUAAUACGGACAAGGCGAAUCUGAUAGGUUAAUUAAAACAAUGUAUUGUGAUGGUCCCUACGAAUGCUCAGGCAAUAUGAUUUCUGCCCAGUGUUCUGAAUGGAUUAACAAGAUUCCCACUUUUCUUGUUUACUACCCAGUGAAACUAAAGGCAAGGGAAUGGGCUUGGCAGAAUCAGUGGGGAAAGAAGACCCUAUUGAGCUUGACCCUAGCCAGACUUUGUGAAAUGACUUGAUAGGUUUAGGAUAAGUGGGAGCUAUUGGGUGAAAUUGAAAUACCACUAGUUUUAACUUUAUUUUACUUAUUUUGUGAAUCGAAGGUGGGGCCCAACCCUUCUUUUUGGACAUAAGGCCGGCUUCGACCGGUCGAUCUGGGUAGAAGACAUUGUUAUGUAGAGAGUUUAGUUGAGACAACAAAUAUUCUAAAAUAUAGCGUAGGUGUCCAGUGAUGAGCUCAAUGAGAACAAAAAUAUCGUGUGGAAUAAAAGGGUAAAAGCUCAUUUGAUUUUGAUUUUCAGUAUUAAUACGAACCUUCAACGCAUGGCUUAUUGAUACUUUAGACAUUCAGAAUUUGAAGGUAGAGGUGUCAGAAAAGUGACCACAGGUAUAACUGGCUUGUCCCAGCCAAUCGUUCAUAGCGACGUUGCUUUUUGAUCAUUCGAUGUCAACUCUUCCUAUCAUUGUGAAGCAGAAUUCACCAAGUGUUGGAUUGUUCACCCACUAAUAGGGAAUGUGAGCUGGGUUUAGAUCAUCAUGAGACAGGUUAGAUUUACCCUAUUGAUGAUCGCGUCGCGUUGCAUCGCAAUAGUAAUUCAACCUAGUAUGAGAGGAACUGUUGAUUUGCACAAUUAGUCAUUGCGCUUGGUUGAAAAGCCAGUGGCACGAAGCUACCCUGUAUUGAAUUAUCACUGAACGCCUCUAAGUUAAAAUCUAGGCUAGAAGCGACGCACGCACUCAUCGCCCGAUUGCUGACCCGCAAUAGGGCCUUCGGUCCCCAAAGGCACCUGUUGUAGGUGCAUGACUAUAGCGGAUAAGUUGCAGACGCCUUUGUAACAGGCCAAUUUUGGGGCUAGUUAGAAAAGUGGUUUCAAAACCACUAACCCAAGGUCGAAGAAAUUAUU